AGUCGCGUGAGGGACGAAUGGUCUAUGGCCUGUAAACCUCUUUUGCCAGGGAAGAAUAAAAGGUACGUGUACCUUCUUGCCAGUACCUGACGAAUAAGCAUCGGCUAACUCCGUGCCAGCAGCCGCGGUAAUACGGGGGAUGCGAGCGUUAUCCGGAUUUAUUGGGUUUAAAGGGCGCGUAGGCGGGACGUCAAGUCAGCGGUAAAAGACUGCAGCUAAACUGUAGCACGCCGUUGAAACUGGCGCCCUCGAGACGAGACGAGGGAGGCGGAACAAGUGAAGUAGCGGUGAAAUGCAUAGAUAUCACUUGGAACCCCGAUAGCGAAGGCAGCUUCCCAGGCUCGAUCUGACGCUGAUGCGCGAGAGCGUGGGUAGCGAACAGGAUUAGAUACCCUGGUAGUCCACGCCGUAAACGAUGCUCACUGGAUCUUGGCGAUACACAGCCAGGGUUCAAGCGAAAGUAUUAAGUGAGCCACCUGGGGAGUACGUCGGCAACGAUGAAACUCAAAGGAAUUGACGGGGGCCCGCACAAGCGGAGGAACAUGUGGUUUAAUUCGAUGAUACGCGAGGAACCUUACCCAGGUUUAAAUGUAGAUUACAUGAGGUGGAAACACUUCUUC
rnacentral:rRNA from 1 species